GACCACUCAAGUGCUUAGAGUGUCCGCCUCGGAUGCGGGAGGUUGGGGUUCGAACCCCGUCAGAGUCA